CUGGCGGGAGGCGGCUGGUGAGGGCGGCGGGACGGGGCGGUAGGGCGCCCGCCAUGCCGAAGCGCUCGUGGCCCUUCGCGGAGGCGGCCCCGCGGCAGCUGAAGACGCGCGUGGGGCUGCGUGAGCUGAGCCGCGGCGUGAGGGGCGAGGAGUACCGGCGCGAGGUCUUCGAGAGGACCCGCCGGCUGCUCUUCAGAGGCGCCCAGGCCUACAUGGAGGGUGCGUGUCCCGCCGGCCCCGCCGCCAGCUGCGCGGCCGCCCGCUCGCCGGAGCCGGGCGGGGAGGCCCAGGGCGGCAGCACCGGGCGCCGCUGGAGCGGGCAGCUGCUCAUCGGCCACGACGGGAAGCUGCGCAGGCGGCCCGCAGCCACCGAGAAGGUUCCACCCGUGGGAGUUUCCAAAGCCUGUUCGUCGUGUGUAAGAACUGCUGAUGUCAAGGAAGCGUGUACACAGUGCGACCAAUUUGUUUGCCAGAACUGCAGCAGACUCUGCAGCUCCUGUAGCACAGUUACCUGUUCUCUGUGCUCCACUGUUGAACAGGUCAGAUUUUCACAUGAAGGUGAGAGCUCGUUCAGCCAUCACAUGGACUAAAGAAGUUGCAUGGAAAACUGCUUCCUUCAUGUGAGUCCCUGUUGGUGCUGUUGAACACAAGCACUUGUAAGUGCUGGAAAUGUGUCUUGUUCCUCACCUACCCAAGGCUGGACCACACUGUCUUAGUGAGACCAAGAACCAAGUGUAAACCAAACUAGGGAGCCUUCCUCUCAUCACUGGAAAGCCAGCACACCCAGAGCAGCAGCACACCGGAGGCUGUGGACAGAAUCUUUCCCCCAUCCCUGUGCCACACCAGGGAGAAGGAAGGACUCCUCUGUGUGCUGCCAAUACCAGACCUCCUCUGGCUCCUUACAGCUGCAUUUGUCUGAGAGAGUGAGGAACGAGUGCCCUGCAGCUUCGUUUGACAGGCGAGAAAGGGAGUUAACUGAACACUGGGUCUCUGAAGUCUCCACAGCAGCUUGAGGAGCAUCCAGCAGCAGGACACUGCCCAAGGGAAAAUGAUGAUUUCAGUAGCGAGAGAUCACUAAUAAAAGCUGAGUGAGCAGCCCUGACCUGGGAGGGAAGGUGACACGACUGCUCUGCAGAGACAACCCUGCAUCACCCACACGCUGCCUUCGCUCACUGCCUUCCUCUACUGUCAGGUUACCUCUCCUACCUCCACCAUGGGAGUGACAGGGUUCUCCAGGGCAGCCCAGGAAGCGCCACCCUCCUCACAACUCCCUGACUCCAAUCCACUCUUAGUACCAAGCACCCACUUUUCCUCCUCCCUUCCUUCAGAGCUUAGCAAACGAGCACAGGAAGUAAAACUCUGGCAGGGUAAGUCAUUGUGAGUUUUACAAUCAAGUAAAGGGAGAUACUGAGUUUAGUGCCUUUAUCUUAGUUACACAUUACAUUUAUGACAACCUCACCUGUGUAAAUAAGUACAUUUUGUUCUGCUUUCUUACUCAUCCCUUCCUCUGCACCUUCCCAGGUUGCACUUGCACUGCCUUCUCUCUGCUUUGUUUUUCCUUGUCCAUCUUUUACUCCUGACUGACUGCCUGCAAAUCACACAAUCACAGAAUCUCAAGGGCUGGAAGGGACCUGGAAACCUCAUCCAGCCCAACCCCCCUGCCAGAGCAGCACCACCUAGAGCAGGUCACACAGGGACUCAUCCAGCUGGGUUUGAAUGUCUCCAGAGAAGGAGACUCCACAGCCCAUCUGGGCAGCCCCUGCCAGUGCUCCCUCACCUCAACAGGGAAGAAAUUGUUCCUUGUGUUUCUUUGGAACUUCCUUUGUUCCAGCUUGUACUCAUUAUCCCAAUACUCCUGUCUGCCUGCUUAGUCUCAUUUCCCCCAAUAAUAUUGGAUCAAGCAGCUGAACACAUACCUAUGGAAAGCCUGCCAUAUGCUGCAACCAUCUCAAGAACAGCAUCACUGCAGUUUUCACUGUUGAAGUUCAUUGGAGGGGUUUAUGUUUGGAUCUUCCUGUGCAUCCAUGGAGAAUCACUGGAGCAGCAUUAGAAUACAUUUGCUAUUUAAAGUCACUCACAUGCUCUGUGGUCUCCAGGCCUGGGUGUGGGAAAAGGUGUUGCAACUGUUCUCCAGAGUUAGCUCUGCACUUCAGCCAAGCAGCAAUAAAAAGCCCAUUUCAGGUCAGGAGCCUCUGCGGCCCUUGCCCUCAGCCAUGCUGGGGCUCCCCAGGGAGGGACCUGAGGUGACAUGAGGAGCUGCUGGACUGGCUUGGCAGGAGGCCCAUGUCCAACAGCAGUCAGCAAACUGGGAGCAAGCACACAGCUGCACCUCCCCACCUGCACCCAAAACCAUCUCUGAGCAGCUUCUGUCAGACAGGGCAAAAGAACACGAAAGGAAUCCAUCUGGGGUGUGACACUGUGGGGAGGAAAAGCUGCCACCACCAGCAGUGAGCAGAGAUCAAAGUGCCCAGGGGAGACAACACAGCCCUUAGAACAGCCCAAGGAGCCUGGCAGUGGGUAAAUCCCCAAAGCAGACACCACCCCACACCUCAAACACUAAAUAUCACUCAGGGUCUUCUCUUAUAUCAGGAGGAAACUGAGAACAUCCAACUGAGAGCAAUGCCAAGGGCAUGGGCUGGGGCUCCUGCACUGAUGACCCAGAGCUCAGUAAGUGACAAAGGAGCAGAACACCAUGUAGCCAACUUUUGUGUCCCCGAGGAAAUUACCUACACAACUCUAGUGCAAUAAACUGAGUAGGAGUUCAACAAAGACACUUACUUCUUGCUUAAAGCAGUAAGUGCUGGGAACUUGGGAUGACCAGGGCCAAUGAUGUAAGAGAAAAUGAGAAAAAUACAGCAUUUCUACCCCUGGGAGCACCUCAGAGCAAGGCUGGUGCCAAGUCACGCACACUGUGACGCUCGGUUGUGGCAGCCUGGAAGCAGAAAUACAUACCAGAGAUGACAGAAAAACCAGAACCAAGAACCUCCUUCACUAAAGCACAUGCUCUCAAAUCCAGGACCUGAAUCACUGACCAGACUCCCAGACUCGAGGGCUGCAGGGAUUUCUGGAGAGUGCCCUGCUCCGUGCCCCUGCUCCAACACUGUCAGCAAGACUUCCCCAAAGGGCUCCAGUUUGUUCCAGCUGCUGCACUUUAAGCAGAACAGCAUUACUGGUUCUCCUUUUCUCCAAAACAAUGUAACACUUAAGCAGGUAUGUUAUGAUCCCUUUAAUCCAAUGGUGAUGAAUUCCCAGGCAUGUACCUUUAAGAGCAUCAAGUCCAACCACUCCCCUCCCACUGCCAAGCCCAUCACUAAACUAAACCAUACCCCUCAGUACUUCAUCUCUGGUCAGUAUCUCCAGGGAUGGUGACUCCACCACCUCCCUGGGCAGCCCAUUCCAAUGCUUCACAACGCUCUCAGGGAAAAAGUUCUUCCUCAUGUCCAAUCUAAACCUCCCCUGGUGCAACCUGAACCCAUUUCCUUGUGUUCUAUCACUUGUUGCUGGAGAAAAGAGAUCGACCCCCCCCCCCCCCCCAACCCCAGCUCCCCUUCAGAUAGUUGUAGAGAAACCACAGCAACCACUGCCUGUUGUCAUUGCUUCUACAAACAAACUCCAAGAGCUGACAAAGACACCAAGUAGAAGCUGUUAUGGCAAUAUGGCAGCAGGCAUGAAGAAAGAGUGGGGAAAAACAUCAUACAAAAGGAAUCUUUAGCAUAGAGUGGGUUUACAGUUAACACAGGGAGAAGUUCAUACACUCCUAGAGACAGAGUGAGCAGCACCAGGCUCACAACUGCAUGAAGCACUGCUUCAGAGAAACUGAGAGCUGGAAGCACACUGAAAAAAACAGAGAGGAAAGUAGUGUUUUCACAUACAAAGUCCUUGAUCUGCUCAUAGAAUCAUAGAAUGGUUUCAGCUGGAAGAGACCUUUAAGCUCAUGGAGUGCAGCCUUUGUCCCAGACCUAUCAACCACCAGCCCAUUGCCCUCAGUGCAACACCCACCUGGCUCUGAAACCCCUCCAGGGACAGUGACUCCAGCACCUCCCUGGGCAGCCCCUUCCAAUGCCUGACAGCCCUGGCAGCAAAGAAAUUCCUCCUCACAUCCAGCCCGAACCUCCCCUGGUGCAACUUGAGGCCAUUUCCUCUUGCUCUAUUGCUUGUUACCAGGGAUCACAGACCAACCCCUUGCCUCGCUGCAACUUCCUUUCAGGUAGUUGUGGAGAGUGAGAAGGUCUCCCUGAGCCUUCUUUACUCCAGGAAAACAGCCCCAGAUCCCUCAGCUGUUCCUCAUAUGAAACAUGCUCCAAAUCCUGUCCUAGCUUGGUAGCCCAGCCUCUGCAUCCUCUCCAGCACCUCCAUGUAGAGAGGGGCCCAAAACUGGACACAGGACUCAGGGUGCAGCUUUACCAAAGCUGAGUCCAGAGCAAUGAUCACCUCCCUGCUCCUGCUGACAACACAGUUCCUGAUCCAGGCCAGGAUGGUGCCCAGUGGCUACAAAAGUUAAUAGGAAAAGCAAAAGGUGCCACGUGGGGAGCUCUGUAACAAAAUGGUUUUGUUUCAAAUGAUUUCAGCCACAGAACAACCAGUCAUCACCUGAUUAGAAUGCAACAUAUGUCCCAUUAGACAGAGCUAGCACACGUCUGUACACUCAGCUGCACUGGGAUAAUAAGCUCCCAUUUGCUAUAGGCACUGUGUGUUCUUUUUGCUUUACUUCUAGUGGCAAUUAACCUCCCUGUUAUUAAGAAAAUUGAGCUAAAAGUGGAAGACAAACACACUCAUUUGCAAAACUGAAGAAACAAGAUCUUCUCGCCUUCGCCCAUUUCUUCAAAUGUGUUUUUACCUCUGAAGCUCUUUCAGACACAGUGAAAUAAAUCAAACAGCUCUCCUAACUGAUCAUUUCCCAAACAUCUCACAGACAGCAGCUCUCAGAGGCACUUUACACUUGUGGGGGCUGCAGCUCUUCUCUUCUGCAGCUCCAGCUCCUUGCAAUCUGCAUUCCCACCACAGGUUGUGACCUCUACUUUGGAACCACCAUCCUAAAUCCUGCUACUGGAGAUAAAAACCUGACUUAGCACACACUCUCUAAAAACAACCAAAGGGUAUAUUCUCUCUGACAAACAUUGAAAGAAGCCCACAAACAGGAGGAUGAAGAAUGCAAUACUCUUGUAUUUAAUUUAAAUGCCUGUAAGCAAUCCAAAGCAGCAGACAAGAAAAUACACCCCCACUUAAAGCAAAGAUCAUCCAUUUCAAACAAUCAAGGGAAGGUUUUACCCUCAAACCUCCAAAAAAUGACUGUAAUUUGCUUCUCAGGUGGAAAAGCAGGAAGAAAUUCAACUAGCAGCUGAGAUGCUGGAGGCGUGCAGGCAAGCAGUGCAGCAGCUGGAGGGCACCUGCAGGGUACCUGCUGGAGGGGUGAGGGUGCAGGGGGGGGAAAAAGAAGAAAGAGUUUAUUUUCUUGUGGAGGGUGAGAGGGCAAAGUUUGUGCAGAGAGGGAGUGCUAUCAACCAUGGUGAUCUUUGCCCACUUCAGAGGGAGGACAGCCUGCCAUAUCCUAAUGGGCUUGUACUGGAUGGUUUUGUUUCACACAAGAAUAGGAAAUGGAACUUGCAGAAUGACCUGGCUCUGCCCACAUCUCGCAACCCCACCUGGCAGCAGCAGCAGUGCUCAGCUGCCAUCCUCUGGCACACACACAGCUGCACCUCACUGACUCGCUCUUCCAAAGCUUUUUUCCCUAUUUUUCCUCUAACCUGAGUUUCCAACCACGUUCCUGGGCUGUGGCAUCCAUUGUACCACCAGCCCCCUGCACUUGGCAAUGCAUCACCUUUCCUGCAACGUACAACACCAGAGCAAGAUGACAUUUGUCCAUGCCAGAAGGCAGAAUGAGGAGGUUCUGCCUGUAGCAACAGUUUGAAAAGUUUGGUGUUUUCAAAUAAAGACCUAAAGCAACGUGUGAGAUUGAUGCAGUCUCUGGGACAAAGGCAACCUGAGGUGAAGUGACACUCAGGUCACACAACUUUGUGCCAAAUGCCAAUUUAAAGCACACAUUUAAUGUUUGCAGGGAGAGAGCUGUAACAGUGGUAAUCAUUCCCUUGCAGGCAACAGGCAAGGUGUCAGGGAUAACCAUAGGCAAAAGAGGGUCAAUAGCCAGAAGCCUCUGCUCCCAGGUGUGGCCCUCCCAGCUCACUGCUGCCAACAUCACUAAGGUGCCCAGAUGUUUCUGGUUGCUUUUUUUGUUUCCUGAGUCCCACUUUAUAUAUGGGAAUUCCAAUAAAAAUCCAUUAGCCACACUUGGCAGAAAAAUCCUGUUCUGAGACAUCACACAAGCACCCAGGCCAUGCCUGCUCCUGCAUCUGAAAGGCCAGAUUUUCCUGGGGCACAUAAUGGUAACCUUUGAGCAUCUGUGUUGCUGUAUUUGGAUGCACGAGGUGUGUCGGUUCAGAACUUGUCACGACUUGUAGGCUCGCAGAAGAGUUCUUUGAACAUCAUCCCUGGGCUGGCUGGAAAGUCAGCUGAAGGCUUGGAAGCAAAGGAAGGAGAGCAGUUAGGAGAUCAGACCUGCAGAAUGGGACAGGCUGUCCAGCAUCAGUCUCUACAGAGACACAGAUCCCUUCUUUCACCUCCCUUUGUUGCACAAAAUGUGCAGGAGACUGUCCUGGGAAUUACAGCUUAUUCCUGGAACCACAAAUCCUUGUGACUGUUUAACUACAGUUGCAGCUCCUGUGCUCAGUUUGAAGCAUAUUUCAGCUGUUCUUGGAGGGUCUUUUUCUCUGUAUUCUUGUUAGAAAAGGGACAUUCCAGCCCAGAAUGACCAGUUAGUCCCUAGAAAGGAAAGGCAGUGUUAUAUAUUGUGCACUGGCCCCAGUGGUGGGAACUGAGAUACCUUUUAAGAUCAGCAACACAAUCUCACUGGCAUCAGGAGGACAGUAAAGUGAGGCCUGUCCUCAUUCACCUCAAGACAAACUAUUCCUGGCACAGGGUGUAAUUCUGUUAACAACCAUUUUCCCAACUGAUCUUUGCAUAAGGAUCAGCUCAGAGAUGAACCGACCGAGGAGGAGCAGAAGAGCUGAAAUCCCUCAGUGACACGCACAUCAAGCUCCAGAAACUGGAGCAGCUGGAGCAUCUCUACGAAUCCAGAAGGCUCCUACCCCAAGAAAUAAGAACCUAACUUGUUAAAGCAACCUUUUAUUUAAGUAUUUGGAGGGAAACUUUUCAUAUCAUGAGUAAAAAUACUAGAGCUGAAUGUCGUUAAAGAAAAGGCAAGGUGAUGGUGGGUCCCUCUGUGCAAGCACAGCAGCUCCUGAUGGAAAGGGGAAGGAGAGCCUUUGCAUCAUAAACUCCCUUUCAAAGAAAGAAAUUCAAUGGUGGUUAAGUGCAGUACAUGUCAGCAUUUUUUAUAUAGUUAAGAGAACAACAAAAAAAAAAAACAAGGAAGAAACAAAAAGGGAGAGAACACAACCUACAGUGGAAUAAAUCCCUUGGCAGCUGAGACAGAGAAAGACUGCUUUAUGAAAAUUACAAAGAAACGUGAUACAACAAAAGUGGGGCGUGGGGAAUUCUCCACUAAGAUUAAAAAAAUGAAAAACAAACAAAACAAAGGAAAGAAAUCACUUUUUGAACACCAUUAUUAUUCAAACACAUAUGAAGUUUCAACCUAGGGGUUUUUUUUUUUCCUCUUAUCCACGGGAAACACUGUUAAAGUGAAUCUUCGAGAGUGAGAAGGCACCAUGAACUGUUGGCUGAUACCUUUUAAUGCACACUCAAGGAAGAAGAAAUGAUCUGGCAUGAUGCAAAAAAAAAAACCCAAAUCAUGAAGUGUUUAUAUAUGUUCAUGUAUCUUUUCCAUUGAAAAAGAAAACCAAAACCAACCAACCGACCCCAAGCGGCAAGGAAUCAUUACCUUCAGUGCCAAAAGGUCACUUCUGUCUGUCUGACUCAUUCACUCAGCUGAUUUCUCACUUAGAAUCUGUCUGGGGCUUUUUCAUACAGCGGUGAAAACGAGAGGGACAUGAGCUGGGGGAACGGAGCGUGGAAGGAUUCCCUAAAGCUCUCUGCAGGUGGGAUCAGGAAACCUAGAAUGGAGCGCUCGUGUGGAGAGCGUGGCUGCUCCAGCAGCUUUGGCUGGAGAUGUAAUGUCUUGGAGCAGAUGGUAUAACAAAAAUAACUUCUGCUUUGUUUUUCUUUUGCUUUGAUUUACCUCACUGAGGCCAUUAAUGCUGUUCCUAUAAGUUGGUUUUCUGGAGUCGGAUGACGCUUCGCUGCUGUCCAAAAUGAGUUUGAACCGUAACCCUCCAGAGUUUGUUCACUUUGUUGCUUAUAUUAUUGCACUAGCUACUAAAGUCUUAUAUCUUCCUAUAUAAAUCUAAUUGUUCAGAGUGCAGAUUCUAUAUUUAGAUAAUGAAACUGUAUGAAAUAAAUAAAAGAA